ensembl:snRNA U2 U2 spliceosomal RNA
AUCAUGUCUCAGCCUUUUGGCUAAGAUCAAGUGUAGUAUCUAUUGUUAGCAGUAGUAGUUGAUGCAGUGGGUACUGUUAUUACUCGGUUUUGUAAAUGAGGAAUUGGAAGCAGAGAGGUAAACACAUAGCUGGCAGUCAAAAAAACUAGCAAGGGGUCUAAUGCAAAUUCACCAAACACUUCACCUUUAGAUACUAGGCUCU